UACGUAGGGUGCAAGCGUUAUUCGGAAUUACUGGGCGUAAAGCGUGCGCAGGCGGUGAUGUAAGUCAGAUGUGAAAUCCCCGGGCUCAACCUGGGAACUGCAUUUGUGACUGCAUCGCUGGAGUGAGGCAGAGGGGGAUGGAAUUCCGCGUGUAGCAGUGAAAUGCGUAGAUAUGCGGAGGAACACCGAUGGCGAAGGCAAUCCCCUGGGCCUGCACUGACGCUCAUGCACGAAAGCGUGGGGAGCAAACAGG
rnacentral:rRNA from 1 species